rnacentral:rRNA from 1 species
UGGGGAAUUUUGGACAAUGGGCGAAAGCCUGAUCCAGCAAUGCCGCGUGUGUGAAGAAGGCCUUCGGGUUGUAAAGCACUUUUGUCCGGAAAGAAAUCCUUGGCUCUAAUACAGUCGGGGGAUGACGGUACCGGAAGAAUAAGCACCGGCUAACUACGUGCCAGCAGCCGCGGUAAUACGUAGGGUGCAAGCGUUAAUCGGAAUUACUGGGCGUAAAGCGUGCGCAGGCGGUUUGCUAAGACCGAUGUGAAAUCCCCGGGCUCAACCUGGGAACUGCAUUGGUGACUGGCAGGCUAGAGUAUGGCAGAGGGGGGUAGAAUUCCACGUGUAGCAGUGAAAUGCGUAGAGAUGUGGAGGAAUACCGAUGGCGAAGGCAGCCCCCUGGGCCAAUACUGACGCUCAUGCACGAAAGCGUGGGGAGCAAACAGGAUUAGAUACCCUGGUAGUCCACGCCCUAAACGAUGUCAACUAGUUGUUGGGGAUUCAUUUCCUUAGUAACGUAGCUAACGCGUGAAGUUGACCGCCUGGGGAGUACGGUCGCAAGAUUAAAACUCAAGGAAUUGACGGGGUCAUAGCUUCC